rnacentral:piRNA from 1 species
GGCCCUAAAGCGUAGCCUGUGCACACAUGA